UUUUAAAUGGCCGCAGUAUUUUGACUGUGCAAAGGUAGCAUAAUCAUUAGUUUUUUAAUUAAAAGCUUGUAUGAAAGGCUGGACGAGGUAAAAUCUGUCUCUAUCUAAAUUAUAGUAGAAUUUAACUUUUAAGUUAAAAGGCUUAAAUAUUAUUAAAAGACGAGAAGACCCUAUAGAUCUUUAUAGCUUAUUAAAUUAAAUUAAUUUAGAAAUAUUAAUGUUUUAUUUAAUUAAGGUAUUUUAUUGGGGUAAUAAAAAGAUUAAAUAAAUUCUUUUUUAUAAUAAACAUUAAUUUAUGAAUAUUAAUGAUCCAGUUUUACUGAUUAUAAGAUUAAGUUACCUUAGGGAUAACAGCGUAAUUUUUUUAGAGAGUUCAUAUCGAUAAAAAAGUUUGCGACCUCGAUGUUGGAUUAAAGAUUAUUUUAGGUGUAGAAGCUUAAUAAUUUUGGUCUGUUCGACCAUUAAAUCUUUACAUGAUCUGAGUUCAGACCGGCGUAAGCCAGGUCGGUUUCUAUCUUUAAUAAAAUAAAAUAUUUUAGUACGAAAGGACCAAAUAUUUAAUAUAUUUAUAUUUAAUUUAUUGAAUAUUA
rnacentral:rRNA from 1 species